CAACGUGAGCAACCUGCCUUUCAGAGGGGGAUAACAGUUGGAAACGACUGCUAAUACCGCAUAACGCUGCGAUGGGGCAUCCCGAUGCAGCCAAAGGAGCAAUCCGCUGGAAGAUGGGCUCGCGGCCGAUUAGCUAGUUGGUGGGGCAACGGCCCACCAAGGCGACGAUCGGUAGCCGGACUGAGAGGUUGAUCGGCCACAUUGGGACUGAGAUACGGCCCAGACUCCUACGGGAGGCAGCAG
rnacentral:rRNA from 1 species